GGCCAAAUAUGAACACAAGUGUAUAUUUUGUUCGUUGCAUUCAUAUGAGUAUUGGCUUUGUAUAUAGAAAUAUAUUAGGUCUGCAGAUAUCUGAGAAGCGUGGGUGAAGUCUAUCAAUGCGAUUUAUGUCAGUUUGUGAAACAGAGUAGCAAAUUCUGCGCAUCACGUUUACAUUGAAUUUUUAAGGUUGUGAAGCUGGGCCACUUUGCGCGCACCUCAACUAAUUCUAAGGUCCUAAAAGUUAAUGACCGGGGAAACCUCCAGUGGCUCCAAGGUUUGGAAUGUUUGGCUUCCGUGGGAUUCAAACAUGCGACUUCAUGGAGGAUAAGCACUUAUUACUUGGGGUUUGCUAUAUCUAGAUCUUGGUUUUGUCAAGUAUAAGAUUGGGUUUGUCAAGUAUAAGAAACUGUUAAGGCUGUUUUAUUUUUUUGCCUUGGGCAAAAUUACAUAAAACCUGAAUGUUUCUCCUUGUCAUAGCCAAGAUCCAGAUGUAAGAGUUUAUUGGUGCUGUGUUUGGAUCUUCAAACCUAUGGAGAGGAAAAAUAACAGUAGAAAAAUGUAUGAGUGAACAUAAGAAAAAAUCACCUAAAGUCUUGUGGCUUUUCUGGCCAAUAUUUGAGAUUUCUUUGAUCUUCUGGCGCAACGGCUGCUUUACCGUAUCUUUGCUUUUCCUCGAAUGGAAGCUCAAAGAACUUUUUGGUGACUUCCCUUACCUUGUCAAGAAACUGCAUUGAUAUCCCAUGCCCUAUUACCUGAUACCCA